CCUACGGAGGGCAGCAGUGGGGAAUAUUGGACAAUGGGCGAAAGCCUGAUCCAGCCAUGCCGCGUGUGUGAAGAAGGCCUUCGGGUUGUAAAGCACUUUCAGUGGGGAAGAAAGCCUUGGGGCUAAUACCCUCGAGGAGGGACAUCACCCACAGAAGAAGCACCGGCUAACUCCGGGCCAGCAGCCGCGGUAAUACGGAGGGUGCGAGCGUUAAUCGGAAUUACUGGGCGUAAAGCGCGCGUAGGCGGUCUGAUAAGCCGGUUGUGAAAGCCCCGGGCUCAACCUGGGAACGGCAUCCGGAACUGUCAGGCUAGAGUGCAGGAGAGGAAGGUAGAAUUCCCGGUGUAGCGGUGAAAUGCGUAGAGAUCGGGAGGAAUACCAGUGGCGAAGGCGGCCUUCUGGACUGACACUGACGCUGAGGUGCGAAAGCGUGGGUAGCAAACAGGAUUAGAUACCCUAGUAGUC
rnacentral:rRNA from 1 species